GGUAAUCAAUGCCUACCUCACCUGUCUUGUGAGGAACCACAAUAAAACAAGUGCACACAAGUUUGGUGUCAUCGACAGUUUUUCGAUAACGGCAAUUUGGCUAGGAAAAUUACCAAGACUCCGGACACUCAAUCCAAUGGCAUUCUCCAUCCUUGUGGGAAUAAUGAAUGAACACCACCACUGGAUGUUGACGGUCAUCUACCCACAUGAGAGGAGAUGCCUUUUUUUGGAUCCAUUGGGGGAAUCUAAAAGGAACAUUCAGAGAUUCCUGGAGUCAACAAGGGCCUUUAUGCGAAAGAAAGACUGCAAUGUGACAAGGUGGGCAUGCACCCUGGCCCAUGCACGCCAGCAAGAUGGCACAUCAUGUGGUGUCCUGGCC